GUCUAUGGCCAUACCACCCUGAACACCCCUGAUCUCGGAAGCUAAGCAGGGUCGGGCCUGGUAAGUACUUUGAUGGGAGACCGCCUGGGAAUACCAGGUGUUGUAGGCU
rnacentral:rRNA from 1 species